UGCUUGGAUCGGAGCUACUCUUCAACCUAGUUGGCGGCCCCAAAGCACCAGGAAGGGGAGGAGCAGGGCUCAGCUCCAGGUCACUCUCCGGGGAGGAAGCGUAGGAGAGGCGAGAAGUCAUCGGGAACAGGAAGUCAUCCGAAAGGGCCUCUUCCGGCUACGCUCACAGAACACACGUCUCAAAUCCAGUCACAUGCAGAAAUCUCGUAUUCCG
rnacentral:lncRNA from 1 species